rnacentral:rRNA from 1 species
AUGAACGCUGGCGGCGUGCCUAAUACAUGCAAGUCGAGCGAACAGACGAGGAGCUUGCUCCUCUGACGUUAGCGGCGGACGGGUGAGUAACACGUGGAUAACCUACCUAUAAGACUGGGAUAACUUCGGGAAACCGGAGCUAAUACCGGAUAAUAUAUUGAACCGCAUGGUUCAAUAGUGAAAGACGGUUUUGCUGUCACUUAUAGAUGGAUCCGCGCCGCAUUAGCUAGUUGGUAAGGUAACGGCUUACCAAGGCAACGAUGCGUAGCCGACCUGAGAGGGUGAUUGGCCACACUGGAACUGAGACACGGUCCAGACUCCUACGGGAGGCAGCAGUAGGGAAUCUUCCGCAAUGGGCGAAAGCCUGACGGAGCAACGCCGCGUGAGUGAUGAAGGUCUUCGGAUCGUAAAACUCUGUUAUUAGGGAAGAACAAAUGUGUAAGUAACUAUGCACGUCUUGACGGUACCUAAUCAGAAAGCCACGGCUAACUACGUG